UGGGAACCCUGGAUCUGGCAACACUGCCCUUCAUGCCAUGUGUUAUGCCAGAGGCUGAGACUGGAAAGUGCACCUGUCAUGGCCUUGCCUUGCAGAGGGGAAGACAGAAAAGCCGGUGUGUUUGGCAACACACAGCCAAUAAUAUUCAACAGGCUGCUUUCAGAGCAUCUCUUUCCAGACACAGCAAACAGUCGUUUGCAAGAAUCAGCAUCAUAUCCACCCUGGACCGUGAGUUGUGCUGGACACAGAGAAAUCGAAAGUGAGCCAGAGCCAUUUCCUUCCCUAAAGGGGCUCGCAUUACAAGAGACACUGUCGCAGAAGCAGGAGAUCACCCUGGGCUGUGGCGAGCGCUGUUAGGAAGGACAUCAGGAUGUUAUCGAAGACACGAGGAGAGCCCCCAGCUCCAAUUUAGCAGGAGAGGGACGACCUCUCAGAAGAAGUGGCACCCACACUGCAUAUAAUCCGUAGUUUCCAAUGACCCCACACUACACACAAGUUGAGUCAGUUUUAACAAACAGGUCAAUGUAAUUUAGGUAGAUACAGGGUAAGGGCACUGUCCGGUGACACGUUUUCGUUUCCCCUCUGUGCCAACAAUGUUUCGGUUAAAAAGACAAGUAGGGCCAUGGUGCUGAAUAAGAGAGAGUAAGGGGCUCCUGUAUCAAUAAGGAAAUUGAUAACUUAUCUCCUACGUCCAGGGUAACCCAGGGCUCCCUCAUCUUGCUGUCACAGGGAGCCAGACCAACCUCAGGGUCCCAUCAUGCCAGGCCCUCCGGUUCCUGCCUUCCUCUCUCCCUGGAGUUGAGGGCAGUGUCUCUCUCCCAAUGUCUUUCUUUCUUUCUUUCUUUCUUUCUUUCUUUCUUUCUUUCUUUCUUUCUUUCUUUCUUCUUUUUUCUUUCUUUCUUUCAUUUCUUUUUUUUAACAGACAGGACAUGGCCCUGGGGGAGAGCCUUGGUUUGGA
rnacentral:lncRNA from 1 species